UACGUAGGGUGCGAGCGUUAAUCGGAAUUACUGGGCGUAAAGCGUGCGCAGGCGGUUUGCUAAGACAGGUGUGAAAUCCCCGGGCUUAACCUGGGAACUGCGCUUGUGACUGGCAGGCUAGAGUACGGUAGAGGGGGGUGGAAUUCCUGGUGUACCAGUGAAAUGCGUAGAUAUCAGGAGGAACACCGAUGGCGAAGGCAGCCCCCUGGGCCUGUACUGACGCUCAUGCACGAAAGCGUGGGGAGCAAACAGGAUUAGAUACCCGUGUAGU
rnacentral:rRNA from 1 species